rnacentral:rRNA from 1 species
ACUCCUACGGGAGGCAGCAGUGGGGAAUUUUGGACAAUGGGCGAAAGCCUGAUCCAGCAAUGCCGCGUGCAGGAUGAAGGCCCUCGGGUUGUAAACUGUCUUUUGUACGGAACGAAAGCCGUGGGGCUAAUAUCCCCGGGUCAUGACGGUACCGUAAGAAUAAGCACCGGCUAACUACGUGCCAGCAGCCGCGGUAAUACGUAGGGUGCAAGCGUUAAUCGGAAUUACUGGGCGUAAAGCGUGCGCAGGCGGUUUUGUAAGACAGUGGUGAAAUCCCCGGGCUCAACCUGGGAACUGCCAUUGUGACUGCAAGGCUAGAGUGCGGCAGAGGGGAUGGAAUUCCGCGUGUAGCAGUGAAAUGCGUAGAUAUGCGGAGGAACACCGAUGGCGAAGGCAAUCCCCUGGGCCUGCACUGACGCUCAUGCACGAAAGCUGGGAGCAAACAGGAUUAGAUACCCCUGGUAGCGACUGA